rnacentral:rRNA from 1 species
AACGAACGCUGGCGGCAUGCCUAACACAUGCAAGUCGAACGAGACCUUCGGGUCUAGUGGCGCACGGGUGCGUAACGCGUGGGAACCUGCCCUUAGGUUCGGAAUAACUCCCCGAAAGGGGUGCUAAUACCGGAUAAUGUCUUCGGACCAAAGGUUUAUCGCCUUUGGAUGGGCCCGCGUUGGAUUAGCUAGUUGGUAGGGUAAAAGCCUACCAAGGCGACGAUCCAUAGCUGGUCUGAGAGGAUGAUCAGCCACACUGGGACUGAGACACGGCCCAGACUCCUACGGGAGGCAGCAGUAGGGAAUAUUGGACAAUAGGCGAAAGCCUGAUCCAGCAAUGCCGCGUGAGUGAUGAAGGCGUUAGGGUUGUAAAGCUCUUUUAACCGGGAUGAUAAUGACAGUACCGAGAGAAUAAGCUCCGGCUAACUCCGUG